CCUACGGGAGGCAGCAGUGGGGAAUAUUGGACAAUGGGCGCAAGCCAGAUCCAGCAAUGCCGCAUGAGUGAUGAAGGCCUUAGGGUUGUAAAGCUCUUUUACCCGGGAUGAUAAUGACAGUACCGGGAGAAUAAGCCCCGGCUAACUCCGUGCCAGCAGCCGCGGUAAUACGGAGGGGGCUAGCGUUGUUCGGAAUUACUGGGCGUAAAGCGCACAUAGGCGGCUUUGUAAGUUAGAGGUGAAAGCCCGGGGCUCAACUCCGGAAUUGCCUUUAAGACUGCAUCGCUAGAAUUGUGGAGAGGUAAGUGGAAUUCCGAGUGUAGAGGUGAAAUUCGUAGAUAUUCGGAAGAACACCAGUGGCGAAGGCGACUUACUGGACACAUAUUGACGCUGAGGUGCGAAAGCGUGGGGAGCAAACAGGAUUAGAUACCCCGGUAGUC
rnacentral:rRNA from 1 species